UACGUAGGGGGCGAGCGUUGUCCGGAUUUAUUGGGCGUAAAGAGCGUGUAGGCGGCCAGGUAGGUCUGCUGUGAAAACUCGAGGCUCAACCUCGAGACGUCGGCGGAAACCAUCUGGCUAGAGUCCGGAAGAGGAGAGUGGAAUUCCUGGUGUAGCGGUGAAAUUCGUAGAUAUGCGGAGGAACACCGAUGGCGAAGGCAAUCCCCUGGGCCUGCACUGACGCUCAUGCACGAAAGCGUGGGGAGCAAACAGG
rnacentral:rRNA from 1 species